UACGGAGGGUGCAAGCGUUGCUCGGAAUUAUUGGGCGUAAAGGGCAGGUAGGUGGUCUCAUUUGUCUGGGGUGAAAGCCUUGGGCUUAACUCAAGAAGUGCCCCGGAAACGGUGAGACUAGAGGAUCGGAGAGGUCGGUGGAAUACCCGGUGUAGCGGUGAAAUGCGUAGAUAUCGGGAGGAACACCAGUGGCGAAGGCGACUACCUGGCCUGUUUCUUGACGCUGAGGCGCGAAAGCUAGGGGAGCAAACGGG
rnacentral:rRNA from 1 species